GCUAUGAAGAGGUGUUUGUGAUCUUUUUGCAGGGAGCGCUGGGCCUGGACCAGGACCUUGUGCACGCUAGGACACAGCCAUGGAGAUGAGCCACUUGAGGGAGCUGACUCUUCCAUAGUGCAGGCCGUACAGCAUCGUGAAGAAGGCCGCCACCCCGCUGGUGGUCGCCACCAGGAGCCAGCCGACUAGGACACACCACCAGGGCAGGCCACGAGGGGACUUGCUGACCCGAGACGUGCUAUAAAAAAGGUUAGACCAACACAGGAUGCCACCAGAAGACCCAUCUGUUCUCAUCCUCCAAAUGGCCUUGUGCAAGCCACUUGACCUCUGAUAAUCUAUUUCUCCUCUAUAAUUUGUACCUGCCUGAAAGAGCUGCUCUCUAGGGCUGGAGAGAUGGCUUAGCGGUUAAGAGCACUAACUGCUCUUCCGAAGGUCCUGAAUUCAAAUCCCAGCAAACACAAGGUGGCUCACAAUCACCUGUAAUAAGAUCUGAUGCCCUCUUCUGGAGUAUCUGAAGACAGCUACGG
rnacentral:lncRNA from 1 species